AAUGUAUAGAGCUAAUACCUUUUGUAUUAAAACAUUAUGAAUGUUUGAACUAUCAUAUUAAUGUAAUGUGAAGUAUGCCUUUUUUUAAUAUACUACUAUUUCCUUAAAGUAGUGUUAUGAAUUGAAAAUUGUCUUGUUGUAUCCUAGAUGAGAUACAAGAGUUAUAUCACUUAAUUGUAAUGUGAUAAACUAAACUUUAGAUUUAUCAAUUAUGGAUAGAUCUUACAUGUAAGACAUAAAAGGAUACAAUGAAUCUUUAGAUUUGGUUCCAUUUGUCUACUUAUGAGUUCUAUAUGAAUUGACAAAAGUCUAGAGAAUCCUUUCUUGAAGAAAAGGAAGAUCACAUUACAAUGAUAUAAGUAAUAAGAAAAACGUUUCUUAUAUGGUUAUCACUUGAAACACAAUGAUCAAGAUUACUCUUGAUUCAAUUAGUAGUUUUGAACAAUUAAUUGGGCAUUCUUAAAAUUGUUUUAAAAUGUCAAUGGUGUUAGUAAUUAAACCAAGAAAGAAGUGUCUAAAUCUAUAAAAGGUUUAAAGACUUUAGUCACUUAAAUAACAAGACAUUAAACUUAGUGAAGAUUGAAACAAAUAAGCUUGAAAUGUUUCAAAGCUACUACACAAUGUCUUCUACCAAUAUAAUCCAAUUUUAUACAUUUUGAAUGUAUGAAAUGAUUUCUCAUUAAAGUCAUGAGAAAUAGUGGGAGGCGUGAAAAUGGAUAUAAACUUGAAUGUGAUUGGUUUAUAGUUAUCUAAAGAAUAAUAGUACUUGACUAUUAUUAAGAGUUUGUAAUUUUAAUUGUUAAAAGGACUCAAGCUCUUCAAACGUUAAAAUUCUAUGUUGUGUAACAUUUAAAGAAUAGUCUUUGAAUGUUGGUUUCAUCAACCUAGCAUAAAAUGGUUAUAUGUUGGGAGUUGUCCAUCAUUCUCUUUUAUGAGAACAUGCUAACAACAAAGCAUAUGGACAAGUUGAUGAAACAAAAUGGAAUAAGUUUCAAAAUGAGUCACAACAUAUGGUUUAACAACAAGACAAUCCAAAUUCAACAUCUCAUGUAACGAUAUUGCUCUAUGUAGUUUUGAUAGAGAAUUAUAUCAACCACCUAGAAGGAAUGGUUGAGUAUCUAUGUCCUUAGUAGGAGCCAUACUUCCACUAAGGAAUUAGAUAAUUCUUAUAUGACUACAUUAAAGGUCUUAGUACGACUAAAACUUUUAAUAUGGUGUAUGACAUCGUAUAAUUAAAUGAAUAUACUUGAUAAAACAAGUCACAUAUUCAAAAGGAAUUACUUUAGAAGGAAUUCUUUUGUAUGUGAUUCAUUUAAAUAACUUGUGUUAACUAGGGUUGUUGAUGGUCUCAAAAUUGUUGAGAACAUCAUCAAUAAGCUAAUGGAUCUCAAUAAUUCUCAAUGGAUCCAAGACAAGUUAGUGGGAGCAACACGCAUUCAAAUCAAGAAAAUAUAAGUGUUAUUUUUGAAUGAAUGGUAAGUUACAACAAGGCCAGUGGGAGUGAUGUCAUAAUUUGAGCAACAAGAUGUGAAUAAAGUCUAUUUGAUAGACUUGAUGAAACAUAGAUGUUACUCGAAAAUGACAAAACAUGACACAGUCAAUUUUGAAGUAUAGACUUGAAAUUGGACUUACUGAUAUAGCAAGGCUAUCUCAAUAAUGUUAUAUGGGAAUUAAAUCUCAAAUGUUGAAGAUUUAAGAAAGCAUUUUCCUAUGUGAUAGGAAAUCACUUUUAUAACCCUUAUAAUGAAUGUGUCAUAAAAUCACAAAAGGGACACAUGUAUUGACUUGUGAAGUAGAUAUCCAAAGGUGAAGAAACCACUGAGUUUAUCACUUUAAGAUAUUACUAUAUCCCAGGAUCAGAACCAAAGCAACUGAUAAAGUAUUAUUGCCUUUUAAGAAAGAAACAUCAGAGUAGGACUCUGGAAGCGUGCAUU
rnacentral:lncRNA from 1 species